UACGUAGGGUGCAAGCGUUGUCCGGAAUUAUUGGGCGUAAAGAGCUCGUAGGCGGUUUGUCGCGUCUGCUGUGAAAUCCCGAGGCUCAACCUCGGGUCUGCAGUGGGUACGGGCAGACUAGAGUGUGGUAGGGGAGAUUGGAAUUCCUGGUGUAGCGGUGGAAUGCGCAGAUAUCAGGAGGAACACCGAUGGCGAAGGCAGGUCUCUGGGCCAUUACUGACACUGAGAAGCGAAAGCAUGGGGAGCGAACAGG
rnacentral:rRNA from 1 species